UACGUAGGUGGCAAGCGUUGUCCGGAUUUACUGGGCGUAAAGAGCGCGCAGGCGGUCUUGUAAGUCGAAUGUGAAAGCCCCUGGCUCAACCGGGGAGGGUCAUUCGAUACUGCUCGACUCGAAGGCAGGAGAGGGAAGCGGAAUUCCCGGUGUAGUGGUGAAAUGCGUAGAUAUCGGGAGGAACACCAGUGGCGAAGGCGGCUUACUGGACCACGACUGACGCUGAGGCACGAAAGCGUGGGGAGCGAACAGG
rnacentral:rRNA from 1 species